UGCAUCGGCCGGGAAUCGACCCUGGCCGCCCGCGUGGCAGGCGAGCAUUCUACCACUGAACCACCGAUGC